UUUAGUCAAAAGUUGAAUUGGUGAAAUUGAAUUUCCUCGAGAUUAAGAGAAAUACUUAUUACAUUAUUUGGUGUAGAUUGAUUUGUUUGAUUGUGUUGGCACGCGUAGAAGUUAACCUUGCUUGAAAGGAAGAACCUUGAGAUCUUAUUCAAACUUUAGCAAGAAGAAUGUUGAGACUCACCGAGUACGGUGGAUUGUACUGACAUUCUAUUUUGGGAACCUACGUUGGUCUGCGGUAAAACGUAGGUGCCAGUUUUGCAGACAAACAGGCUUCAGGCUAGAGAUCAUUGCUCUCCGUGCUUUUGGUAGCUCCACUUCUUGCUUUUGGUGGGGACUCGUAUAUGUUUAUUCAUUUAUUCCUUUAUUUAGCAUUUGUUUUGGGAUUAGCCAGGAACCCUAUGUCCUGUGCAUUUCCUUUAGUACUCCAGUAGAGGCUUCAUAGACGUGUUUUAGUUGAUAACGGUACUUGGUAUCAUUUUCAGUACGUUUUAGUACUUAUGGAUUUCGAGAUUCAUUUGGAUUA